GAUCCUGGCUCAGAUUGAACGCUGGCGGCAGGCCUAACACAUGCAAGUCGAACGGUAACAGGAAGCAGCUUGCUGCUUCGCUGACGAGUGGCGGACGGGUGAGUAAUGUCUGGGAAACUGCCUGAUGGAGGGGGAUAACUACUGGAAACGGUAGCUAAUACCGCAUAACGUCGCAAGACCAAAGAGGGGGACCUUCGGCCGUCUUGCCACUCGGAUGUGCCCACGAUGGGAGUUAG
rnacentral:rRNA from 1 species